rnacentral:rRNA from 1 species
ACCCGCUGAACUUAAGCAUAUCAAUAAGCGGAGGAAAAGAAACCAACAGGGAUUGCCUUAGUAACGGCGAGUGAAGCGGCAAAAGCUCAAAUUUGAAAUCUGGCACCUUCGGUGUCCGAGUUGUAAUUUGAAGAAGGUAACUUUGGAGUUGGCUCUUGUCUAUGUUCCUUGGAACAGGACGUCACAGAGGGUGAGAAUCCCGUGCGAUGAGAUGCCCAAUUCUAUGUAAAGUGCUUUCGAAGAGUCGAGUUGUUUGGGAAUGCAGCUCUAAGUGGGUGGUAAAUUCCAUCUAAAGCUAAAUAUUGGCGAGAGACCGAUAGCGAACAAGUACAGUGAUGGAAAGAUGAAAAGAACUUUGAAAAGAGAGUGAAAAAGUACGUGAAAUUGUUGAAAGGGAAGGGCUUGAGAUCAGACUUGGUAUUUUGCGAUCCUUUCCUUCUUGGUUGGGUUCCUCGCAGCUUACUGGGCCAGCAUCGGUUUGGAUGGUAGGAUAAUGACUAAGGAAUGUGGCUCUACUUCGGUGGAGUGUUAUAGCCUUGGUUGAUACUGCCUGUCUAGACCGAGGACUGCGUCUUUUGACUAGGAUGUUGGCAUAAUGAUCUUAANCCACCCGUCUGAAACACGGACCAAGGAGU